ensembl:rRNA 5S_rRNA 5S ribosomal RNA
GUCUACGGCAUACCACCUGAAUGCGCCUGAUCUCGGAAGCUAAGCAGGGUCGGGCCUGGUUACUACUUGGACGGGAGAAAUGUAGACA